CUGUGACCCUCUCCACCGCUGUUUUUUUUUUUCAUUCCUGUCGCCCCCUUCUCUUCCCCUUUCUACUCUACUUCUGUCUAGAUCUAGAGUUUCUCCAUGGAUUCUUGAAAUCUUGGACUUGAAUUCAAUGGGAAAGGAGGCCCAACCCUCCUUGUGCCAUCGGAGCGUUUGAUUUGCUUUAAAUCGUGCUGUCUUGUUAUCGGAAUUUUGUUUCCCCCGUUGUUUUGUUUUUCUGUUCUUCUUCGCAGGUUCGUCGGGGCGCAAGGGGGAGGCCGCCGGCUCCUGCAGCCGCGGCCAGGGCGGCCUGCGCGCGCUGCAGAGCCCAGGCGACGACGGCGUCCCUGUGUUGGACUCUGCUCACGGGACUCGAUCUGGCUUGAGCAGGUCGCGAUGGCAGCCAAGGCCAGAAGCAGGCAGCUACCGGCCUUGGCACCAGGCGCGGGGAUCCCAGCGACGUCCUAGGUGACCAGGCUUGGCAAGGCAACAGGCACGCAGGGCAGCAAGCUGCGUUCAGGAGCAAGCGCUGUCAAGCUUCCUGCCAACAAAGCCUGUGCACGUGCAUCAACAAAAUUGUUCUUUUUUUGGCCGGCUGCUAGCACAAGCUAAUUAGAUUUGUGACUUCGUGAUACUUGUAUUCGUGUAUGUUUGGCUCUUGAUUGUGUUGCAGGCAUGGCAGCAAAACCCAGCACCAGAAAGCUCGUCCCGGAUAGCAGCAUCAUCACUAUGCACACAAGAUGCUCGGUAAAAUGCCCCGGCUGAUUAAGAAACGAUACGCCGCGAACGAAGCCGUCUACGAGCUAGUUGCUGAGCCGGUCCAGGAGCCACCAACAGGAGAGCAGCAGAUCGAGGAAGCCGUUGAGCAAGCUCCGGAAGACGUUGUUAACCCCGCUGACUUGCAAGGCAAGCCUCGAAGCAUAACCCUUACUUUAAAUUUACAAAGUGUUAUUAAAUUA